UGACUCAGUCCCUAAUUUGCUCUUUGAGUCUGGACAAGCCACCUCUCCUCCCUAGGCUUGUGUUUCCAGAGGAGGUAGAGAGUAUCAAAGAUCUCUUUAAGCUCUGACAGUCCGAGAUUGAAAUGCCCCUGGAAUAGAAACCUCAGGGCCAAGGGUUCCCGUCUGUCCUUUUCUGUCCUGUAUGUCUGCUGUGAAGACCCGUACCUGGCCUGUAUGUGUUCAGUAAAUGUUUGUUGAAUGAACACAUCUUUCUAAAUCACAAGCUGGCAGAAGUGUGGGCCUUUCUCAGACUCCAUCUCUAGAGGUUUAUGUUACUGUCCUUUUGAGAGAAUCCAGAUUCAGACUUUGAGUUCUGUGGCUGUGGGCAAAAACCAACAAAGACCCAAAUCCUCUGUCUUUGGGAGCUUGAGGAGAGUUGACCAGUUCGUGUUGCCAUUGGGUCUGAGAACUUUGCCUUUAAAAUCCAUUCCUGGUCCUGCCUACAACUUCCUGGUCUGGGGACUAGAGUUCAGGGGGCCCCCUCAGUCACCUGAAUUUAACUCUCCCCACAGAAACAACAGAAGAAACAAGUGGAACAUCAGCUGGAAGAAGUCAUGUGAUUUCUUUGUUUGCACACAACAUGACUGCUGGGUUUGGGGGGCACUCAGAUGUAGAGGCGUCAGUCUCGUCUCACCCACUCCCAACCUGGGGAAGAAGGCUCACCCCUCAGAUUCCACCCCAUGCCCACAGGGUCCCUGAUAAACUGGUCCCAUGGGUGUGCCUGUCCUGGGGCAUUGGUGGCAUGCUGGGGGCAUGUCUCUUGCUGUGCCAUCUCUGCCUCCCCCGGAUAAGAGCUCUGUCUUCCUCUUCCUAUAGGAAAAGAAAGCAAACAACGAAAUAGACAAAGCACACACGGAGCAGUUAGAGACAAUCAACAUCCGCACAUUGGAAAAGGCAGACUUGAAGACCACCCUUUACCAUACUAAACGUGCUGCCAGACACUUUGAAGAAGAGUCCAAGGAUCUGGCCGGCCACCUGCAAUACUCCUUACAGCGUAUUCGAGAAUUGGAGCGGUCUCUCUCUGCUGUGUCUACCCAGCAGCGGGAAGAGGACAGG